AUUCCUUAAUACACAUCCUGAAUUGCAGAGUGCUUGCUCUAUUUCUAAAGUACAGCCCUGUUGUUUAGUCUUCUAAAAGUGGAACUACUACCCAUCUAUGAAAAUAGGAAACAGUGCUCGUGUUUUCCCAUCUGUGGCUGCUGGCACCUACUGCUGCAAUGAGAGGGAAGAGAUGGGCCUGGAAGAGGCUGUGUGUCCACAUCCUGACUCUCUAGGAAAAGACCAUCUGCAAUAGAUGAGUAGCUGCAUUUCAAAUGGAAAUUUAG